rnacentral:rRNA from 1 species
AUACGGAGGGUGCAAGCGUUAUUCGGAAUCACUGGGCGUAAAGGACGCGUAGGCGGGUGGGCAAGUCAGAUGUGAAAUCCUACAGCUUAACUGUAGAACUGCAUUUGAAACUGCUAACCUAGAGUAUGGGAGGGGGAGAUGGAAUUAGUGGUGUAGGGGUAAAAUCCGUAGAUAUCACUAGGAAUACCGAAAGCGAAGGCGAUCUCCUGGAACAUAACUGACGCUAAGGCGUGAAAGCGUGGGGAGCAAACAGGAUUAGAAACCCCAGUAGUCC